rnacentral:lncRNA from 1 species
GUGUGUGUCCGUCUGUGUCGGUCAGCACACACAGGUCGUCCUUGGCUGUCCGUGUGUGUCUGUGUGUGUCUGUCAGCACACACAAGACUUCCGUGGCUGUCCAUGAGUACACAUAUCAGCACGUUGGUCCUUGGACUCAGCACGCUGACCCUUCCCGUGGACUUUUCGGGUGAUUUUGGCCCACGUAGGCUGUCUGUUCAGGACACACAGGGCAUCCGUGGGUGUCCGUCAGCACACACAAGACGUCCGUGGG